rnacentral:rRNA from 1 species
GAUGAACGCUGGCGGCGUGCCUAAUACAUGCAAGUCGAGCGAACGGACGAGAAGCUUGCUUUUCUGAUGUUAGCGGCGGACGGGUGAGUAACACGUGGAUAACCUACCUAUAAGACUGGGAUAACUUCGGGAAACCGGAGCUAAUACCGGAUAAUAUUUUGAACCGCAUGGUUCAAAGGUGAAAGACGGUCUUGCUGUCACUUAUAUAUGGAUCCGCGCUGCAUUAGCUAGUUGGUAAGGUAACGGCUUACCAAGGCAACGAUGCAUAGCCGACCUGAGAGGGUGAUCGGCCACACUGGAACUGAGACACGGUCCAGACUCCUACGGGAGGCAGCAGUAGGGAAUCUUCCGCAAUGGGCGCGCGCCUGACGGAGCAACGCCGACUGCGUGAUGAAGGUCUUCGGAUCGUAAAACUCUGUUAUUAGGGAAGAACAUAUGUGUAAGUAACUGUGCACAUCUUGACGGUAACUAAUCAGAAAGCCACGGCUAACUACGUG